AGUGAACGCUGGCGGUAGGCCUAACACAUGCAAGUCGAACGGCAGCACAGUAAGAUCUUGCUCUUACGGGUGGCGAGUGGCGGACGGGUGAGGAAUACAUCGGAAUCUACUUUUUCGUGGGGGAUAACGUAGGGAAACUUACUCUAAUACCGCAUACGACCUACGGGGGAAAGCAGGAGAUCUUCUGACCUUGCGCGGUUGAAUGAGCCGAUGUCGGAUUAGCUAGUUGGCGGGGUAAAGGCCCACCAAGGCGACGAUCCGUAGCUGGUCUGAGAGGAUGAUCAGCCACACUGGAACUGAGACACGGUCCAGACUCCUACGGGAGGCAGCAGUGGGGAAUAUUGGACAAUGGGCGCAAGCCUGAUCCAGCCAUACCGCGUGGGUGAAGAAGGCCUUCGGGUUGUAAAGCCCUUUUGUUGGGAAAGAAAAGCAGCAGGUUAAUACCCCGCUGUUCUGACGGUACCCAAAGAAUAAGCACCGGCUAACUUCGUG
rnacentral:rRNA from 1 species